rnacentral:rRNA from 1 species
GAUGAACGCUGGCGGCGUGCCUACUACAUGCAAGUCGAGCGAACAGACGAGGAGCUUGCUCCUCUGACGUUAGCGGCGGACGGGUGAGUAACACGUGGAUAACCUACCUAUAAGACUGGGAUAACUUCGGGAAACCGGAGCUAAUACCGGAUAAUAUAUUGAACCGCGUGGUUCAAUAGUGAAAGACGGUUUUGCUGUCACUUAUAGAUGGAUCCGCGCCGCAUUAGCUAGUUGGUAAGGUAACGGCUUACCAAGGCAACGAUGCGUAGCCGACCUGAGAGGGUGAUCGGCCACACUGGAACUGAGACACGGUCCAGACUCCUACGGGAGGCAGCAGUAGGGAAUCUUCCGCAAUGGGCGAAAGCCUGACGGAGCAACGCCGCGUGAGUGAUGAAGGUCUUCGGAUCGUAAAACUCUGUUAUUAGGGAAGAACAAAUGUGUAAGUAACUAUGCACGUCUUGACGGUACCUAAUCAGAAAGCCACGGCUAACUACGUG